AAAAUUGAAGAUCUCAAGCUAAAUACGUUGAGUACUAAAAGAAUGAAGGUACAUGGUAGUGCUGUAACUCCUUGUAUACCAAAUAUUUCAUGGUUUUUUCUUCAAGAUGUAGAUCUCAAAGUACACAAAAAUAAUCAAGUUCCGUGGUAGUUAUAAUAGCUCAUUUCAUUUCCAAUGAAAAUUCAGAGGUGUUCUUUAAACUAAAAUAUAAGACCUUAAAAUAAAUAAAAAAUAGGUGUUCCCUUAAAAAAAUGUGGAGACAACAAACUAUCAAGUUCUUCUAUCUAUAUGUAAC
rnacentral:lncRNA from 1 species